rnacentral:rRNA from 1 species
UACGAAGGGGGCUAGCGUUGCUCGGAAUUACUGGGCGUAAAGCGCACGUAGGCGGCUCUUUAAGUCAGGGGUGAAAUCCUGGAGCUCAACUCCAGAACUGCCUUUGAUACUGAGGACCUUGAGUUCGGGAGAGGUGAGUGGAACUGCGAGUGUAGAGGUGAAAUUCGUAGAUAUUCGCAAGAACACCAGUGGCGAAGGCGGCUCACUGGCCCGAUACUGACGCUCAGGCGCGACAGCGUGGGGAUCAAACAGG